UGGGGAAUUUUGGACAAUGGGGGAAACCCUGAUCCAGCCAUCCCGCGUGUGCGAUGAAGGCCUUCGGGUUGUAAAGCACUUUUGGCAGGAAAGAAACGUCAUGGGUUAAUACCCCGUGAAACUGACGGUACCUGCAGAAUAAGCACCGGCUAACUACGUGCCAGCAGCCGCGGUAAUACGUAGGGUGCAAGCGUUAAUCGGAAUUACUGGGCGUAAAGCGUGCGCAGGCGGUUCGGAAAGAAAGAUGUGAAAUCCCAGAGCUCAACUUUGGAACUGCAUUUUUAACUACCGGGCUAGAGUGUGUCAGAGGGAGGUGGAAUUCCGCGUGUAGAAGUGAAAUGCGUAGAUAUGCGGAGGAACACCGAUGGCGAAGGCAGCCUCAUGGGAUAACACUGACGCUCAUGCACGAAAGCGUGGGGAGCAAACAGG
rnacentral:rRNA from 1 species